rnacentral:rRNA from 1 species
GGGCCCGCACAAGCGGUGGAGCAUGUGGUUUAAUUCGAUGAUACGCGAGGAACCUUACCAGGGCUUAAAUGUAGUGGGACAGGUCUAGAGAUAGACCCUUCUUCGGACUCAUUACAAGGUGCUGCAUGGUUGUCGUCAGCUCGUGCCGUGAGGUGUCAGGUUAAGUCCUAUAACGAGCGCAACCCCUAUCGUUAGUUGCCAGCACAUUAUGGUGGGAACUCUAAGGAGACUGCCGGUGACAAACCGGAGGAAGUGGGGACGACGUCAAGUCAUCAUGGCCCUUACGGCCUGGGCUACACACGUGCUGACAAUGGCCGGUACAGAGAGCAGCCACUACGCGAGUAGGCGCG